AGCAGUGAAAACACUGGAUCCUUAACCCACAGAGCCACCUAUUGCUUCUACCACACUGCCUCACAGCCCGUGUUCAAGGGUGCAAGGAUGACAGGGAGUGGAAAGGGCCGGGAAAGGGUGGCUUGGCCUGGGCUGAACAUUUUUUUUUACCUCCAGGCUUAGAGUCAGACUCCUCCGUGGGUCAGGUCUGGGGGCAUGAACUGGUCCUUGGGUUAUCAGGUAACCUGUUUGGCCUCCCAGAACCAGGAUAUCAGCCAUGUCUACAGCCAGCCAUACAUGGCAUUAUUGAAGAGCAAGGAUGAUGGGACACACACACACACACACACACACACACACACACACACAUGAGCACAUCCCUCCAAACAACGGCUUGGUGAAGACCAGCCACAGAGGCUCCAGAGUCGCUCCCAGUCAGGAUCAAGUGGAAAGGUCCUGCGUGGGGCCUGGCGAGAGGCAGCGCGGCUGAUUCCAAAACAGUCCCGGCACGGACUUUGGCCGGGACGAAGAUAGGCAGGCUUAGAGAGGAGGAUGGAGAGGAGGAUGAAGUCGAAGAGGACGGCAAGCUCCUCCCUGCCCCGGGAUCUGAGUCCAGACACCGUCUGGAGGUAGACUUCUGGGAACUACUUGGGUGUUGAGAAUUGCAGCACCUCGGCCCCCAUGCUGCUUACCGAGAACGACAUAUUUUCUGCCUGAGGGCAGACUGCAAACCAGGCAGCUUCUACGACCCACUGUGGAGAUGACCCCAGAGAGCUGUGACCGCGCGGACCUUCUCUCCAUAUCCGAAGCUCUGCUGUGAGCAGGGAAGGUGGUGGUGGUGGGGGGUGUCCAGAUGUGGGCAGAUGCUUCCAGAGCAUCGUAACACCAUUAGGAAAAGGGCAAGUAUAUUGAAUCUCUGCACUUGAAGGAAGAAAGGCUUUUGAGGUCGUUUAAUAAAACCAGCUCAUCUUCCAGAUGUGGAAACUGGGGACCAGAGAAACUGAUUUACCCAAAGCCACAAGGGGAAGUCAGAGCAGAGUCAAAAUUAACCUGUCUCUACACUGCCCAGUAUUUGGAAUCCUAAAGAACCUACCAUUUCAAGACACACACGGAAGAAAUAGGAAAUGCCUUUGUAUCUUAUGGCGGUAACAAAGAACUAUACAUUUAGUAGCUUAGACAACACGAGUUUAUUAUCUUUCAGUUCUGUAAGGCAACAUAGGUCUAAUGGGCUAAAUUCCAAGUGUUUGUAGGACUUCAAUUUUUUUUUUUUUUUGAAGGCUCCCAAAGGAGAAUCUGUUUUCUUGCCUUUUCCAGUUUCUGCAGCUGCCUGCAUUGCUUGGCUCAUGGCCCCUUCCUCCAUCUUCCAAGCCAGCCAUGGUGCAUGGAGUCCUUGCCCUGCAUCACUCUCACCUCCUCUUCUGCCUCCUUCUUCUACUAUUAAGGACCUUCUUCUACUAUGGUUAUAGUGGGGCCACUGGGAUAAUCUUCCUAUCUUAAGACCAGCUAAAGAGCAACCGUAAAGCCUCUUAGCCUUAUUCACAUGUUCCCUGGAUUAUGAGGUGAACGAACAUCUCUGGGAGGAGAGGAUCAUUAUUCUGCCUACCCCAGGGAGUAGAGAAAUGGGAGCAAAGGCCAACUCCUUCUCUUGCUUUCUUAAUUUCUCUAAUUCUCUGUGGCCAGAAAAAUUAGUUUAAGAGAUCCUAGAUCUCUGAAUUCAACCUCAAGCUUCUCUUCUGAGCCAUGAUCUGGUUAAUUUGGUCAAGACACAAAGGAAAGGAAAAAUGCCAAAAUUUAUAGAAAAGAAGCCUCCCAAAUGUUGGAUAAAAUGGGAUGCGGCCAAUGGAGGACCUCACUAGUUUCUAAGGGCCUGAGAACUUCCAGGGUUCAAGGGUGCGGGCUUAAUUUGCCAGAGGAGGGAGUUUACAAGAGAGAUCUAGAUGGAAUCCCUGACUUCAAGGCCUACUGGUCAUUAAAAUCAGUAAGCCAGAGGAGGAAAAGGGAAGGAACGUCCUUCUGGUCAAUUUUAGGAUGGAAUCAACCAAUUUCAGGUCUGGACGGUUUCUCAGACUCCUGGCCUCUCAAGGGUUGAAAUAAAAGGCCUUAGGAGGUUCUGUGUUUGAAUUCACGCCUAAUGUAAGGUCCACUGUAAGACCUUUGACGGUCCACUGUCCCCUGCUUUGUGAAGCCCUGGCCAGAGGUAGGAAAUUGGCUAGAUUCCCGUUGGUAUCCUCUAGUUCUUGAAAUCUAUGAUUUUCCAUGAAUCCCAAUUUUACCACUAGUUAUCCCUUCUGAACGUUUCUCUGCCAGGAUGGUAGGAUGUAGACCGUUGGUCUAUUUUCAUAUGGAGAGUUUGAGACCUCAGACUACAUGCAGUAUUUACCCUUCACUUAUGGGACUGUGAGGAUAAGGAGGAAGAGCCCAGGGUGGUCAUCUUACCAGCAUCAACCAGAAGCACCCUUCCCCACCCCUCUUGGUAAGAGACCCUGUCUUCUGUUCACAUGGACACAUGACCCAGGAGAGCCAAUCAUAUGCUUCAUCACUGCGGCUGGGCCAAUCAGGAGCAUUCUUCAGAGAUUGUUCUCCAGUCCCUGGGGGACCUGGGAGAGGAAACUCCCUUCUGCUCAGAUCUGUGAGCUGUGAGGAGGUGGGUUUUGCCCAGGGCCACGUCCCCACUCCUGGAGGAGCUGGUCUGGGAAAAUGGCAUCAGGCAUGAGUGAAAAGGAGAGAGUGAGUAUCCUGAGGGUGUAUUUAGGUCUCUCAAUCCAACCGUACUUUUCUAUGGUUGGGUUAUGUGAACAAAUACAUUUCUUUAUUUCUUUCAUUUUUGCUUUCUUUCACUUAUUUACUGUUUAAUGGCUGCAUCCAUGGCAUAGGAAAGUCCCCAGGCUGGGGACUGAACCCCAGACACAGCGGUGACCUACUGUGCCAGAUUCUUUAACCCACUGUGCUGCUGGGCUGGGGAUCGAACCCGCAUCUCUGCAGUGACUCAAGCCACUGCGCCACUGGAUUCUUAACCCACUGCGCCAUGGUGGGAACUCCUAAAUUUCUUUUUGAGGCUUAAACUAGCUCAAGAUGUGGUUCUUCCAUCUGCAACCCAUGAGUCCUAAAUAAUUUAGGAUGUUUCUCAUUUUUCCUGUUUUCUAGAGACUCUGAAAAGUAAACUAAAGAUCAGAAACUAUUAGUCUCAGAGCCCAACCUGUCCAUAAUGGUCUGGGGAAGAAUCAGUAGGAAGAAAGAGUGGAUGGUCAUGCAGGUUGAGAAAUGAAGGUUCUUGUGUGAAGCCCAGUGAGAUGGGAUCCACGAGUGAUUCCUGGGGUCCCAUUCUCUCUGCCCCUUUUGGACCUCAGCUUGGCUGGAGUAAAUCAUGGCCCCAAUCUCACAUCCAUUCUGGCCAAGCUCCAGGUCCCAAAGGGCCAAAGGGAGUGUUUUUCUACUUUGUGGACAUGGUGCUGUUUGUUUGGUGUAAGUCAGAGGUAUAGAGAGUACUCAAUAGAUUCCCUGAUAACCCCAAGGCGAAGGGGUGGGAAGCGAGAAGAAUAGAAGGUGAGGAGAGAGAAGCAUGACUCCACUAAUGAGAUGCGGACUGAAUCUCUCCUAGGAGUGUAAGGUUGUGCCAGUUUCAACUUGUCAUGACAAAGCACCAAGCAGAAACCUUAUUGUGAAGACAGACGCUGAGAGUUAGGUGUGUCUGUUGGAAGAAAAACGCACACCCAGGUGGGAACGGCAAGCUGCAAAGUAAAUGGACAAUUACUCACGAAGGCUGUUAAGGAAGGAACAAGGAUGAAUGGGCCCACAUUUAAACUCGAUGUUAAGUUAAAACAUAUGGGAGUUUUGUUUUUUUGUUUUUUAAUAUUCAUUUAAAGCGUGGAACUGUCUAUUCAAAGAGGCUGUGGUGUCUUUCUCCGAGGGAGGCUGUAGAGAGAAUAGUUUAGACUGCCUUGUGGCUGCUUCACAGGCUUGAUUACAGGUCUGCAGCUUGGCCCAUCACAUCUGCUUUUCAGUAUCACCGUGGGGGAGGGCAGUUGGUCCCUUUGGACUCUUAAACGUAAUCUGUCUAAGACUUUUGCAUUUUUUCUCCUGGCAGAGUUAGUUUCUCAUGUUUGUUUUGUGAAGAAAGGGCUUUAUAUAUAUUAUGUCUAUCCAUAUAAUUUUUUUUUCCACAGUAAACAGUUGAACAAAAUGUACACAAUGUUGUCCAAACUUCUUAAGUGUUCCCAGAUUUGGAGAUAGUGUUUAUUUAUGCAGCUUUCGGAAAGUCCGAAUGGAUCGGAAAGGUCAGAAGUUACCUCAACUUUUGACUCUGCUCUGCAGAUCACACAUGCUCUGUGCAUUGUUUUAUCUUCAAAACGGGAAAACGAGGAACCAUUCUUUGGCCCUAUCUUGCUCCCAGGGCUUUUCCCCUCCUGCAGACGGUGCCACCACCCGCGAGCUUGAAAACACCGCAGGAAACCAUCCCGGUAUUGUGAGCGGACUAAUCGCCCCAUACCACUCGCUUUUCCUUCCUGGACUGCGUCACGGGCUGUAGCCCUGUGGUUCCCACAUUGUUUCUGUCAUCAUCCCAAGGAGUAUAACUCUUGAUGCUGAGCUUGGGCAGGACAGCCUGUCUCAGCGUGAGCUCUUAUGUAAGUGGCUGUGGGGAGAGCUGGCAAUAAACAAACAUUUUUCCAGCCAUUGUUUUCCCUGCAGUCUUGAAACAAUCUCCCCCCCCUCCCCCCGGGCUGCUGCUGCUCUCCUGCUCCAGGAGGGCAGAUUCCCAGCUUAGAAAUGUCUUGCACUGAAUUUCUGGAUUCUAAAACCAGAACAAAGUGAGCCACAGUGUUCAAAGAAAUUAUUGAGCACGGGGAUGUUUAGAUGGGUUUCUCUGCAAGGGGAUCUGAGAUAGCAUUUCAGGAAGCUUGUCCACUCAUCUGUGCUGCUGGUAAGUUACAUGGUCCUCCAGGGCCACGGAUGGGGAAGCAGCAGAUGAUGGGAACUAGCCUGGGAAUGGAGAAGUGAUUUCACGGCUACCAAGUCCUGACUUCCAGUGUCUAAGUCAGACUCACUGCAUGAAAAGAGUCCAUACACGUGAGAGACAUGGGUCUAUCUGCAGAAUCCAUCCUCCCUUGGGCCACUCCAUCUUAGAAACUCAAAGAAGGGACAAGGUACAAUAGCUGCCUUAAAACACUCUGCCUCAGGAGUUCCCAUCGUGGCUCAGCGGUAAUGAACCUGACUCGUUUCCAUGAGGACAAGGGUUCGAUCCCUGACCUUGC